rnacentral:ncRNA from 1 species
CAAUACUUGUCGGAGUGCCCUCUGGGCUGAGACCGUUAAUUCGGGAUCCGUUGAACCUGAUCUGGUUAAUACCAGCGAAGGGAACAAGAGAAUAAAAGUA